rnacentral:lncRNA from 1 species
CUUUGGUUGGUAGGAGAUGUCAAACUCACCCAAUGCUAUCGCCCAUUUGAUCAUUCGCCCGAAAGUGUCAGGACUUUGGAGUAUCUGUCGAAGACGAUGAUUGGUAAGCACGACGAUGGAAUGUGCUUGGAAAUAAGGGCGAAGUUUUCGAGCAGACAUGACCAAUGCUAGAGCCAAUUUCUCAAUGUUAGAGUAUCGUGUCUCCGCAUCUUGUAAGGCCUUGCUAGCG